AUCAAGGAAUAUUUCAUCUGAUACAUGAUAAGACAAAGAAGACUUCUAGCUUCUGGGAUUGCUUUCUUGGAUAUGGCUAUCUUUAUUUGAUGCCUUGAUCUUCAUAAUGUCUGGAUAUUGCUAAUUUCUCAUUGAUUAUUGCUUCAUUCAAAGUCCAAAUGGAAAGUGGGUUUUAUAUAUGACAUUCUUGUCUGUUGGAUUGCAUCCCAUUGGUCAGAUGUUUUCAACUCUUCAUCUCCUCCCACUUCUUAAAUUUCAAAAUCUCUCCCUCUCUUCAAAAACC
rnacentral:lncRNA from 1 species